AUACGUAGGGGGCGAGCGUUGUCCGGAAUGAUUGGGCGUAAAGGGCGCGUAGGCGGCCCGGUAAGUCUGGAGUGAAAGUCCUGUUUUUAAGAUGGGAAUUGCUUUGGAUACUGUCGGGCUUGAGUGCAGGAGAGGUAAGUGGAAUUCCCAGUGUAGCGGUGAAAUGCGUAGAGAUUGGGAGGAACACCAGUGGCGAAGGCGACUUACUGGACUGUAACUGACGCUGAGGCGCGAAAGUGUGGGGAGCAAACAGGAUUAGAUACCCUGGUAGUCCACACUGUAAACGAUGAAUGCUAGCUGUAGGGGGUAUCGACCCCUUCUGUGCCGCAGUCAACACAAUAAGCAUUCCGCCUGGGGAGUACGGCCGCAAGGUUGAAACUCAAAGGAAUUGACGGGG
rnacentral:rRNA from 1 species